rnacentral:rRNA from 1 species
GGACUACUGGGGUAUCUAAUCCCGUUUGCUCCCCUAGCCUUCGUGCCUCAGCGUCAGGAGUUGCCCAGAGAUCCGCUUUCGCAACUGGUCUUCCUCACGAUAUCUACGCAUUUCACUGCUACACCGUGAAUUCCGAUCUCCUCUACAACCCUCUAGUACAACAGUAUCAAAUGCAGUUUCAGAGUUAAGCUCUGAGAUUUCACACUUGACUUGUUAUACCGCCUACGCACCCUUUACGCCCAAUGAAUCCGAACAACGCUCGAGACCUCUGUAUUACCGCGGCGGCUGGCAC